rnacentral:rRNA from 1 species
UACGCAGGGUGCGAGCGUUGUCCGGAAUUAUUGGGCGUAAAGAGCUUGUAGGCGGUCUGUCGCGUCUGCUGUGAAAACCUGCAGCUUAACUGUGGGCGUGCGGUCGAUACGGGCAUCACUGGAGUUCGGCAGGGGAGACUGGAAUUCCUGGUGUAGCGGUGAAAUGCGCAGAUAUCAGGAGGAACACCGGUGGCGAAGGCGGGUCUCUGGGCCGAUACUGACGCUGAGGAGCGAAAGCGUGGGGAGCAAACAGG